CCUACGGGAGGCAGCAGUGGGGGAUAGUGGACAAUGGGGGGAACCCUGAUCCAGCGACGCCGCGUGAGUGAAGAAGUAUCUCGGUAUGUAAAGCUCUAUCAGCAGGGAAGAAGAAAGGACGGUACAUGAGUAAGAAGCCCCGGCUAACUACGUGCCAGCAGCCGCGGUAAUACGUAGGGGGCAAGCGUUAUCCGGAAUUACUGGGUGUAAAGGGAGCGUAGCCGGUGAUGUACGUCUGGAGUGAAAGGCGGGGGCCCAACCCCCGGACGGCGCUGGAAACUCUGUGACUGGAGUGCAGGAGCGGUGAGCGGCAUUCCUAGUGUAGCGGUGAACUGCGUAGCUCUUAGGAG
rnacentral:rRNA from 1 species